GGAGUUGGCUAAGCAGUCGCUCUGUGUUGUGAUGUCCGGUUUUACGACCAGAUUUUAUGAUACGGGGAGGAAAGUCCGGGCUCCAUAGGGCAGGGUGCCAGGUAACGCCUGGGCAGUUAACGCUGACGGAAAGUGCCACAGAAAAUAUACCGCUUUUUUAUCCCGGGAUAAUUGCCUGGGGUAAUUGAAGUAAGGGUGAAAUGGUGCGGUAAGAGCGCACCGCAAUGCUGGCAACAGCAUUGGCAGGGUAAACCCCACCUGGAGCAAGACCGAAUAGGGAUCCUUUACAUGGCCCAUGUUGGAUCCGGGUAGGUUGCUAGAGGUGUCUGGCGACAGACAUCCCAGAUGAAUGACUGUUCUCGACAGAACCCGGCUUAUCGGCCAACUCCCACU
rnacentral:RNase_P_RNA from 1 species